UUUAGAAGGUUAGUGUUGGUUCUUUUAUUCGAUUAAACAGGAAUACACAUAUAUCUACCAAAGAAUAGGUAAGGGAGAAAUAAGAACACUAAAAAAACUCGGAAUCGUUAAGUGUGAAGCAUAUUUGGAGUUAAAAGAACCAAAUAUUACUAAGUAAGCAGACGCGGGCACGCGCUGCAUACCGGGAUUUGUAGUCCCUUCCGGGGCGGGGUACAGCGCGCCUGCGCAGAGGGGCCGUCCCUCUUCCGGGCGCAUGCGUGCGGCAGCGGCGCCAGGACUGACUGCGCCGUGGAGGCUGCUGCAGUGUUGUGAGUUGGAAGCUGGGGAGCUCGGCAUGGCGGUCCCCGCUGCAGCCAUGGGGCCCUCGGCGUUGGGCCAGAGCGGUCCCGGCUCGAUGGCCCCGUGGUGCUCAGUGAGCAGCGGCCCGUCGCGCUACGUGCUUGGGAUGCAGGAGCUGUUCCGGGGCCACAGCAAGACGCGCGAGUUCUGGCGCACAGCGCCAAGGUGCACUCGGUGGCCUGGAGUUGCGACGGGCGUCGCCUAGCCUCGGGGUCCUUCGACAAGACGGCCAGCGUCUUCUUGCUGGAGAAGGACCGGUUGGUCAAAGAAAACAAUUAUCGGGGACAUGGGGAUAGUGUGGACCAGCUUUGUUGGCAUCCAAGUAAUCCUGACCUAUUUGUUACGGCGUCCGGAGAUAAAACCAUUCGCAUCUGGGAUGUGAGGACUACAAAAUGCAUUGCCACUGUGAACACUAAAGGGGAGAACAUUAAUAUCUGCUGGAGUCCUGAUGGGCAGACCAUUGCUGUAGGCAACAAGGAUGAUGUGGUGACCUUUAUUGAUGCCAAGACACACCGUUCCAAAGCAGAAGAGCAGUUCAAGUUCGAGGUCAACGAAAUCUCCUGGAACAAUGACAAUAAUAUGUUCUUCCUGACAAAUGGCAAUGGUUGUAUCAACAUCCUCAGCUACCCAGAACUGAAGCCUGUGCAGUCCAUCAACGCCCAUCCUUCCAACUGCAUCUGUAUCAAGUUUGACCCCAUGGGGAAGUACUUUGCCACAGGAAGUGCAGAUGCUUUGGUCAGCCUCUGGGAUGUGGAUGAGUUAGUGUGUGUUCGGUGCUUUUCCAGGCUGGAUUGGCCUGUAAGAACCCUCAGUUUCAGCCAUGAUGGGAAAAUGCUGGCGUCAGCAUCGGAAGAUCAUUUUAUUGACAUUGCUGAAGUGGAGACAGGGGACAAACUAUGGGAGGUACAGUGUGAGUCUCCGACCUUCACAGUGGCAUGGCACCCCAAAAGGCCUCUGCUGGCAUUUGCCUGUGAUGACAAAGACGGCAAAUAUGACAGCAGCCGGGAAGCCGGAACUGUGAAGCUGUUUGGGCUUCCUAAUGAUUCUUGAGAGGAGGUUGUAGGGAGAGGAGGCCCCGGCAGAGGUCUUCCUUCAUGUGGUUAGUUUGGUCUGUUCUCUCGGAGUUGGUGGGCACCCUAAAUAUUUGUAAGUUGGUAUAAAUUGUAAACGUCUCUGGUCAGGCUGCGCAUUUCGUUCUUUUGCUUUGUCUGUGUAUUAGCUCUUUCCAUUCUUUGCCCCCAGCAUGAGUUAACUCGCGUGGACUCUGCAGUGCGAGUAGUGACCCCAGCAUACCUUGUCCUCUGGACCUCCUGUCUUCUCUGCUUCUGGGUGCAUGGUAGACUUUGUGGCAUUUGAUACAACUUGGACAAUACCUAGUUUGGAGGGAGGGGAAUGGAAGGGCAUGGAAGUUUUUUUAAAUAAUUAAAAAAAUAUAUAUAUAAUUUUGAGAAUUGAGCAUUUAAUAAACUGACUUUUGUUAUUAUGGAA